rnacentral:lncRNA from 1 species
AUGCUUGAUGCUGACAGGGAUCUUCGAGUCCUUCAGCAAACUGCCGGGCGUUCGCAGCGGGCAGGUGAUGGUGCCCGGGGACACCGGCUUCAGCCGGGACGAGCCGGCCGUGUCCUCGCCGGCCGCGGGGCCCGCGGGGCUGGCGUCGGGGUCCGCGUAGAGGUCGGAGAGCGCGUCGCCGCUGUCGCUGUCCCGGGGGAGCGCCGACUUCUUGGCGCCGCUCGCGCUGUCCUCCUCGGGGCCGGGCGUGCCGGGGUCCCGGUAGCCCUCGUCGCCGCCGGGGACGCCCUCCCGCGGCUCCUCCUCCGCGAGCUUGGGCUCCGCCUUCGGGUGCAGCUCGGUGGGGGCCCUGUGCACCCUGCGGCGCUUGACGGAGGACGCGUCCUUGCAGGGCUCGGGCAGCCCGGAGGGCUCCGCGGCCGGGCCCGCCUUCGCCGCCGCCUCGGGGGGCCCCUGGCCCGCGCCCUCGCUCUGGGACAGCAUGUCCCAGAACUCCUGCAGACAGGCGUCGUCCACCCCGUCCGGGCUGGCCAUCUCCUCCCCGCCGCCUUGGUUCCUCCUCUCCGCUUGCUCUUUCUGGACGCCCAAUCGUGGAUCACCAGAUGCCCUCAGAUAGGACAGCGCCAUUCAACCCAGCACAAAACACUCCUUCUGUCAUCUAUCCUGGAUCCUCCCGUCUCCCAGUCCUUCUCCUCUGUCCUCCACAUUGGGUACUAAACCCAGAAGGCGUGCAGCGUGUCUGUUGCCAUCUGUGUCCGGUGCAGGGCUGACCUUCGGUUCCGUGCUACAUUCUUGUUAUUGUCUCUCUGAUUCUUCUCCUAAAAGCGUCAGCCAUCAGGCAGUCCGUCAGUAAUACCACUUAGCAACUUUCAGCAGUGACUUUCAGCAGUGUCUUUCACCUGGUGAGACAGCUCUGUGGGGUGGAGGCUGACUGGUCCUUCAGGGCAACCAAAGCUUUUACUGCAGAUUCCAGCAACCAGGGACUUCUGAAGUUCCGGAAGUCACUGCCAGGGCCACCUAGGUCACAAUAGAUGAGCUGGUGGGGAGCACAGCUUGGGAAGCUCAGGUCUGCUCCAUAGGUGUGCCUUGGUGUCCCAGGGUCAGCCCUGUCCUCUCCCACUGGGGUAUGGUUUUACGCAGUGUCUGCUGCUGCCCAACCUUGCACUCUCCCAAGGCUGACAGCUUCCUUCCCCUCCUGGGCAGGAAAAGCCUGGCAGGCAUCCCUGAGAGCCCGGAUGAUGGUAGCUGCUCCCAUCCACCUGGUGGGAGGAGAAGGAAAACCUCAUCCCCAGGAGCAGCCUGAUGUGCAGGGUAUAUUCGAUGCUCCCAUGUGAAGAUGGCUGAUGUUAUCACACCUUGAUGUCUGUUUUCAUGUUCCUGCUGAGGGCUUCACAGAAGACGCUUGGAGAAGCAUGUACAGACAUACAUGCUAUGUAAUUUACAUCUUGUAUAUUCUUUAGUAUUAUUUCUUAAAUAUCAAUUACACAAAAUAUUUGUGUUUAUACUACUAGUUUUUCUUUUACUCAUCUUGAAUUUCUUGUGUGUCUUUUUCCUGGUACUGGGGAUGGAACCCAGGGCCUUGCACAUGCUAGGCAAGUGUUUUACCUAGCCCUUGGGCUGCAUUUUUGUUAUGUGCUCCUUUCCUUACGGUAAGAAAUCCUAACCUCCACACAUUUAAGGGGGAGUUCUGCUGGUCACAGAUGUUGGCCCCUGUGGUUUCUGUAGUCAUGAAAUAUGCUUGGUUCACAUUUAUGCCUUGGGUUAGUUGUGACAUAUUGCCCUUUUCUGUAUAUAUAUGUAUUUUUUUAAAAGCUGCCUAGUAGAACAAAAAAUCAGUGAGUUUAGGAUUAACUAAGGUUUUUAUUCCCAGAAUUUCAAUCCCCUCAGGUCUUUCCUGUUAUUAACAUACUUCUCUUUGCUGAACAGGACAUAAGGCUGAGACAGAGAGGUGUGUCCCAGUUUUAACCAACCGCUUGACUCGACGAAUCAGAGUCCUAGUUGCUCCACAGAGAGACCCGAUGUGAGAAACUAUAAAGAGAAACUCAUUUGUUGUUUCUUCGCAACCUUCUGUGAACAAUUAGAAGACACACACACACACACACACACAUGCACACGCACACACAACAGGCACCCCAGUUGUUUCAAUAUGUCGGUUACUACAUAAGUGUGUCAGUUGAUGACUGGGAUCAGGGAAGAAUAAAUUAGACUAUAAACAACCUCUGCUUC